rnacentral:rRNA from 1 species
AGUGAACGCUGGCGGUAGGCCUAACACAUGCAAGUCGAACGGCAGCACAGUAAGAGCUUGCUCUUACGGGUGGCGAGUGGCGGACGGGUGAGGAAUACAUCGGAAUCUACUUUUUCGUGGGGGUUAACGUAGGGAAACUUACGCUAAUACCGCAUACGACCUACGGGUGAAAGCAGGGGAUCUUCGGACCUUGCGCGAUUGAAUGAGCCGAUGUCGGAUUAGCUAGUUGGCGGGGUAAAGGCCCACCAAGGCGACGCUCCGUAGCUGGUCUGAGAGGAUGAUCAGCCACACUGGAACUGAGACACGGUCCAGACUCCUACGGGAGGAAGCAGUGGGGAAUAUUGGACAAUGGGCGCAAGCCUGAUCCAGCCAGACCGCGUGGGUGAAGAAGGCCUUCGGGUUGUAAAGCCCUUUUGUUGGGAAAGAAAAGCAGCAGGUUAAUACCCCGCUGUUCUGACGGUACCAAAAGAAUAAGCACCGGCUAACUUCGUG